AAUCAACGCUGGCGGCGUGCCUCAGACAUGCAAGUCGAACGCGAAAGCCCCCUUCGGGGGGCAAGUAGAGUGGCGCACGGGUGAGUAACACGUAGGUAAUCUACCUUUGGAUGGGGAAUAACCACCGGAAACGGUGGCUAAUACCGCAUAAUGCAGCGGCACCUAAUGGUGACAGUUGUUAAAGCGGGGGAUCGCAAGACCUCGCGUCUGAAGAGGAGCCUGCGGCAGAUUAGCUAGUUGGUAAGGUAAAGGCUUACCAAGGCGAUGAUCUGUAGCCGGCCUGAGAGGGCGGUCGGCCACACUGACACUGACAUACGGGUCAGACUCCUACGGGAGGCAGCAGUCGGGAAUUUUGGGCAAUGGGCGAAAGCCUGACCCAGCAACGCCGCGUGAAGGAUGAAAUCCCUCGGGAUGUAAACUUCGCAAGAACGGGAAGAAUAAGUAAGGGUUAAUAUCUCUUACGAUGACGGUACUGUUUGUAAGCUCCGGCUAACUCCGUGCCAGCAGCCGCGGUAACAC
rnacentral:rRNA from 1 species